UUACUAUAGAUUUCUUCUAAUCAGAUAUAAAACUAGUGUUCACCAGAUACUGAAUUUGAGAUGACAUAUUUUUAGAGGAUUUGGUAAUCACUAGAAGGGGGCUGUUUGUCUAGAAUUAGUAUCCGCACACUGUUGGUUGUUGUCACCCUUUUCCUUUACCGUUGCAGGUCCUAAAGGUAUCACAGAGGUUACAGUUGGUAUUGUUGGAGUUUUUGAUGGCCAUAAUGGUGCUGAAGCAAGUGAAAUGGCAUCAAAGCUAUUACUGGAGUACUUUACAGUGCAUAUGUUCUUUCUUCUUGACACAACGUUUUCCGUCCUAUUAAGGAAAUUGAGGGGAUGGCUACCAAAUGUAAGAGGGAAUGAUGUAAUGAGGAAUUGGGCCAGCAUCAGUUGAAAUUUGGGAGCCUUAAGCUGAGUUUGUCAUCAAUCUUUGAUGAAUCUUUUCCAUUGGAAAUAUUCAAGGAAGCAGUGCUAACUGCUAAGAGCAAUUGGUGAUAUUGAUUCUGCAUUUUCAAGGGAUGCUUUUAGAAAUAAUUUUGAUUCUGGAUCUACUGCCGCAAUCAUACUUCCACACGGCAAAUUAUCAAUCGUUAUGCGUUGGACCCGUGUCCAACAUGCUUGUUGGACAC